rnacentral:rRNA from 1 species
AUGAUGAGCGAUACACACCGUAUGUGGGAGACAGGACUCCUCCCUUUCAUUCAAUUGGUCAGCCGGUCGACGCCACCCCUCAAUGUUGCAGCAAUCACCGCGCUUACUGAUCGUUGGCGGCCGGAGACACACAGUUUCCAUCUUCGGACCGGGGAGAUGACCGUGACACUCCAGGAUAUUGCUAUGAUCACCGGUCUUCCUAUCGAGGGUAAUCCUCUAUGUAUGAGCACCGAUUCAGAUGGGUGGCGCGAGCAGAUGCAUGCCCUUAUCGGUAUGGUUCCUCCGGAGCCUCGGCAACCAGCAGCAGAAGACAAGAAGAAGGAAAGAGUCGCAGCCGGUGCUCCUUUCACCUGGGUUGCAUGGAACUUUGCUAAUUGCCCCGAGAAGGCUAAUGAGGAUGAGGCCAAGACAUAUGCUCGUGUCUACAUGUGGUACGUUAUAUCCAGGACUAUGUUUGCUAAUGGCACGGGCAAGAAUGCUCCAUGGAUGUGGCUGAAGGCGUUGACCAUCUUCGAUAGCAAAUGGAGUUGGGGUUCGGCGACACUGGCUUACUUGUAUAGACAGUUGGAUGAAGCCUCUUGUAGGAAAUCAGGAGGUAUUGGUGGUUGUAUGCUUGCACUUUCUAUAUGGAGCUGGGAGCGAUUGCCGGUUAGACGACCGAAGACCAUGAAGUACGAGGAUUGGAACGACCAUGACGACCCACUACGGUACCCCACUUGGGCUUACAAGUGGGAUGUGGUAAAUGAGACGACGGAUAAUCCCUCGGUCGUGUACAAGUUGUACAAGAGCGAGCUGGACACGAUCAUGGCUGAACAGGUGGAAUGGGAGCCGUAUGGAAAAGGGGAUAGUUUUGGUAACCUUAGAGACUUUGUGCUGAAUCCGAUGUGCCUUAGGGAUAGGGAUCUUAGGCAUAUGUGGUGCCCACUCAUAUGCAACUGGGCGGUUGAGCUUCACCCGCCACAUCAGGUGUACCGCCAAUUCGGUUUGUUCCAGCCACACCCGCCGAAGUGGGAGGACACGGACAAGUGUUUACACGCGUUUGAUAGGAGAAGGCAGCGGAAGGUCAAGCAUUGGGACAAGCAUCACAGGAAUUAUAUCAUACAGUUUGCACUUAGUGUGGAGCUGUUGGGGAAUGUAGUAAUUUCAAAAAAAAAUCCUACGCACACGCAAGAUCAUGGUGAUGCAUAG